UACAGAGGGGGCAAGCGUUGUUCGGAAUUACUGGGCGUAAAGGGCGCGUAGGCGGCUCGCUAAGUCGAACGUGAAAUCCCCGAGCUCAGCUCGGGAACUGCGUCCGAUACUGGUGGGCUUGAAUCCGGGAGAGGGAUGCGGAAUUCCAGGUGUAGCGGUGAAAUGCGUAGAUAUCUGGAGGAACACCGGUGGCGAAGGCGGCAUCCUGGACCGUCAUUGACGCUGAGGCGCGAAAGCUAGGGGAGCAAACGGG
rnacentral:rRNA from 1 species